rnacentral:tRNA from 1 species
GGCGCAGCUGGCCCGUGGUGCGGCCACGCUCGCCUUGCAGGCGGGCGAUCGGCAGCGCACUCUCGGCAUGGGCGCGUUCGAUCAGCGCGUCGCCG